CCCGCUGAACUUAAGCAUAUCAAUAAGCGGAGGAAAAGAAACUAACAAGGAUUCCCCUAGUAACUGCGAGUGAAGCGGGAAGAGCUCAAAUUUAAAAUCUGGCGUGCCUCUGGUCGUCCGAGUUGUAGUCUGGAGAAGCGUCUUCCGUGUUGGACCGUGUACAAGUCUCUUGGAACAGGGCGUCAUAGAGGGUGAGAAUCCCGUCUUUGACACGGACUACCAAUGCUUUGUGAUGCGCUCUCAAAGAGUCGAGUUGUUUGGGAAUGCAGCUCAAAAUGGGUGGUAAAUUCCAUCUAAAGCUAAAUAUAGGCGAGAGACCGAUAGCGAACAAGUACCGUGAGGGAAAGAUGAAAAGCACUUUGGAAAGAGAGUUAAACAGUACGUGAAAUUGCUGAAAGGGAAACGCUUGAAGUCAGUCACGUCUGCCAGGACUCAGCCUUGCUUCUGCUUGGUGCACUUUCUGGUUUGAUGGGCCAACAUCAAUUUUGACCGUUGGAGAAAGGCUCUGGGAAUGUGGCACCUUUGGGUGUGUUAUAGCCCUUUGUUGUAUACAACGGUUGGGAUUGAGGACUGCAGCACGCCUUCAUGGCCGGGGUUUUGCCCACGUACGUGCUUAGGAUGUUGGCAUAAUGGCUUUAAGCGACCCGUCUUGAAACACGG
rnacentral:rRNA from 1 species